rnacentral:misc_RNA from 1 species
GUGACAAACAACUAUUGCAUCGUUGAGCAAUUGGCAUACCAAAAUUGACUUGUUCUCUUAAAGGUAACUGUAAAGAUCACACCAACAAGACUUAAUAGCAUCCCAUUAACGUAAAUGUUGAAAAGACAACAGUUGAAAGAGCUUAUUGCAGAUGAAAGAAAUGUUUCAUUCUAUAGCAAGUAUUCCGUUGGAUGAUUAAAAUUCUUUAACGUCCCAUCCUUUCAUUUUGGUGCCUUAUGUUGGAUGUGGUUGCUGAUAUGGCCAAAUCUGGGCAGC